GUGGUAGGGGAAAUUUUAUUUGUAAAUUAAUUUGAGGUGAAAUGUUAGUAUUCUUCUGAAUAGUUGAUUCAUUUACAUGGUGCACAGAGUUCAGAAGCUUAUCCAUAGUGAUGAAGAGGUCAUUUCCUUACUCACAGCCCCAGGCACCCAGUUAGUUCAUUGUCCUUGUGGCACUUGUGGGUUCUGUUUCCUUAAAGGAAAACCUAUCUCCUGAUGUGUCUGCCGAGGCCUCAGGUCCACAUACCACACCAGCCUGCCAGGUGGCUCCAGUCUCCUGGAGAAGAUGCACGGAACUCUAGAUGGAGACUGGCGGUGUUUGCUCUGGUCCUGCUGGGAGGGGGCAGAGGAGUCACUGACUGGGGCUGCCUGUUGCGGACCCUGCUGGUUCUGUUGGCCUCACCUGUGGAGCAGGGCAGCCGAGCUGACGCUGCUCUUGUCAGUCUGCUACUGAGACAGCUGAGGUCACGCUGAGAGUUCUCCAAGAAAAUGGGAGUCCAACACCAACUGAUUGCAGAAAACUGAAAGCAGGUCACCUCACUGGGGACCCCAGAAGGGAUCAACAUUUUCUUUGAAUAUUUAGAAGUCUAUACCGCUUGAAUAACUUUUGUGUGAGCUAAAUAAACAUAAAUGUGAAAAUAAAGGGGUAUGGAACCACUGUCAUGGGUUCAAAUUAGUUAGCUCUGCUACUUAAUAUCCUUCUAGAGGUCCAGGAAGUCUUAGGGUUUGGGUAUAUUCCGGCCCCCAACUCCCCCACUCUAGGCAUUGAGUUUUUCUGUUGGCAUCUUGUUGCCAAGACAGGAGUAAAACAUGGAAAAUCAGAAUCUAAUUUGUAUAGUGGACGAUUGCUAUCAUCAUCUGGAAUAGUGUGUGGGUGAGGAGCAUCAGCCCAAGAGGAAUGUAAGCCUGUCGUCUUCCCUAGACUUCGGGAUGACUUGCUGUUAGGUAUCUAGAGAGUGCGUGCAUGUGUGCUGGCCAGGACCGUAGAGUAAGUGCCGCUGGGAAACAGAGCGGUGGCAGGACUCCUCCCACGGGGCCACAACUGUUCCAGAAUGAGAGGAAUUACAAGGCAGCCUCUGUGAAGGCUGUGGGCAGCUGAGUAGAACAGUAUCAAGAGCCAGGGGCUUAGCUUGGGUCAAUAAAUGACAGUUGACUGGCUUGGAAAAAGCCAGCAUUGUGAGGGUCCAAGCGCGGUCCGCCGUGGGAGACCCACAACUGGAACGGGAUCCUGUCAUAUUUGUUCUGGCAGCUUCUUCGGUAAAGCCACGCUAAGCUCCAUCUGGGAUACUGUCAGCCGAAGUAAAGCUGCCAAACUUCUCCUGGAGCGGCACAGAUAGGAAUUACGUGGAAGGCUCCAGAAUUCAAGGGCCUGCGUUUGAACCAAAGCCUGGCCAUUUACUAAGCUGCUUUUCUCCGUGAAAGACUCCGGACGAACAGAAGCACUCUUCAAGGGAAGAGGACUGGUCAGAACCGAGAAACCUGCAGGCCACACUCACCCAGGAGAAGAUCCUCCAAGGUCAGCCUCAGCAGACAGCGUGGACGGGAAGGAGGUUCUGGGCAAUGGAUGGGGACUUAGAAGAACUGAGAAAAUCCCAGACCGGAAGGGCCUGUUAGCAGCUCAGGCUGCGGCCUAGCAGGACAGCACGCUGCCCCAAAGCACCAGGAAGAGGAAGAAUGCCCCACAGGGAGGAGGGCUCCUCCAGGGACAGGACGGUUCUGACUUCACAAAAACACACGGAGGCAAAAGAAAUCAGGAAGGAAAGACCAUCUCAGGGAGUUGGGAAAAUUCCCUGCCUGCCUAGAGCCCUCUGACUUUGGCCCUCAGGAGGAGAAAGGACCCUCACGCCUGCGUCAUGCCCAAGCUUCUGUGCCAGGGCGGAUCUCUCAGAGAAUCCUACCAGGAGAGAAACGUUUUAGAAAACCAGACAACACAAUUGCCUGAGCUGCUAUCUUGGAAGAAAAGAGAGACAACUCAGGAAAUGAAAAGACAAUGCCUGCCGAAUAUCUGAGUCCGAAGAGCCAUAGUUUGCCUGUCAGUCACUCUAUCCGGCCAACAUGAUAUCCAUCAGAAGUCAGUGAGCUCACUGGUCAUUUAAGCAUCAUGCUGGUGUUUAGCUUGAUGUAGCUGUUGCACUUAGGAGUACAGCGAAGCUUCUUUUCAUUCUUCCAAUUUCUUUUACAAACUGUGUUUAAAAUCCAUAUACUCAAUGGACUGAGAUUUAAUAAAAACAAUCUCAUUGUUUCUUCAGGUUCUUCUUAAGGCUACUCUCUUAAGGUGCAAGGCAUACAAAUGCUUGGCAGUAGGUGCUGUGACCUUGACUUGUACAGUGGCAGCAAUAGUGUCAUCUGCCAUUUCAUCUGCAUCAUCGGAGCACAUUUCAGUAUGUAAGAGCUUGGAAUUGUUAGUGUGUUAGUGAAUUUGCUAGUGAAUUUGUUGCUGUAACAAAAUACCUGAGGCAGGCUAACCUUAUUCACAGUCACUGUAUUGAAAAUACACACACUCUGUAUUGAAAGAGAGAGUGAGAGAGGGAAGGGGGAAGGAAGGGAGGAGGGCGGAAGGAAGGAAGGACGGAACCUUGUAGCCAUCCAGUAUAGAGAUGACCACAGAAUGGACCGCAAUUAUAAGACAGACUAAAGAUUUACUGAAGGUAAAAUCAGUACAAGGGUCCUAAGCAGAUGGCAAGAGUACAAGGGAGGAAGCGCUCUCUGGCCAAUAGGAUGCCAGAGAUCUGCCCCAGUGACUUACAGACUGCCCAUUCGAUUCACUUCUUAAGGGUUCCAUGCUACUCAGUCUGCUAAACUGAGGACCAAGCCCCCAACACAUGAAGCUGGGAGACAAACCACUUCCAAGGCGUGUCAAUUCUGAAUUUUUUUCUGCCUUUAUGGAUUGCCAAGAACCCUAGGGACCCCAUUGCCAUAUUGAAAGCCAUUCCUUUGACUUUCCAUUUUCUAAGAGCUACCUUAAGCCCAGCUAGAAUCUUUCAUAUCCAGAUCUAAUAGUCUGGGGCCAGUCCUCUCAUCUCUGUUCCUGUAAUUUGUAAUCCAAUCAUGGACUUCAGCACCUAAACUUGGGGCAACAGCUAUACUUUUGAAAGCAGCAAAGGCGUUCUACGCAUGUUCCUGAAUUCUCAUUUCCCGUCUGUUCCUCUUCGGAAUAAAAAGAAGCAUGAUGCUGCUGGGUUGGGUGUGAACACUGUACAUUCAUAGAGAGGUGUCUACAUGCACAUCUAGGGACACAUCAUACGUUGUCAGGCUCUGCUGGCCAUCCCCCAGUUCCUCCAAGGACUGCCCCUACCCCUACAUCUUCACAUCAGUUGGAUGGAGGUGAAGUUCCUGGUUUUGAAGUAGUCCCUGAAAGAGAGAUGGGCUUUCAGAAGCAUCACCCACAUAUCCCAGACCCUUCUACGGUCUUUAUACACUCCUGUCUUUGGCUCUGUGAUUAUAGCUGUACAUGAUCUUUAUCCUGCCCGGAGCCGGGCUCAGUUGGGGAUGAGAAGUGGGCGAUGAGUGGGAGGAUAAGAGUAUGGCUGCUAUCACGGAAUAAAGACCUAAGGAAGCCAGGGGGGAGCCAAGGAACGGAGUGCAGAGCAGCAGUCAUUUGUUACAGCUGAAAAAUUAAAAAAUACAUACAU